rnacentral:lncRNA from 1 species
GAAGACAAUCGAGUUGUAUAUGUUAUGUAUAGAACAUACAUAUACUACGAUGUGGCAUUAUAUAACAGUGGUCGGUCGAGGACAAAUUUAUCUGAUGCCAUGGAGAAUAGUUCUUGUCACCGAGGCAAGUAGUUGCUUUGCUAACUCUUAAAUCCUUUAUCUUCAAUUGUAUGAUUAUAUAUUGCUGCACUCUCAAAUCUUAUUUAUCCUGUGUUAAUUCCUGUGCUAUUUGAGAAGGACAUGUUGUCCUCGAUAUUACAUUUGUUGAAGGACAAGUUGUCCUUGAUAAUCCAUUUGUUGAUUGAACCUGUCUAAUAUGAGAGGAACUCAUGUAGAGGCAUGAGUUUAUUGUCUUGACUAAUAAUCUAGUGAUCCUAUCGUUGAUUCAAACACACAUCCAUCUAUAUAGGUGUCACGACGGCAAAUGUAUUGUACCGGUCACAGUUCAGGUAUGGGACUGUCUGAGUUCUCCGCUAAGGACGGACCUUGUUCAGCAACGUGUCGGUGAUGGAUCUGUAGGAGCGACCGACAUCAGUAGGUCCAGGUGUCCGGGUCUUAGUGGGUACAAGAGCUCUGCUAUUCUGGAACCUGUGUGGUUCUAGUUGAGACUGUCGACGUUGGAGUACCCCUCUUAAGAGCGUAAAAGUGUGAAAUUUCAUCCCUGUGACUCCCGGGUUGGGAAGCUUGCGGUCAUGUGUGACGCCAAAUAAAUUCCUAGUUGUUUCCAUUAAAUCUAGUUAUAUGUUCUUUUGUCCAUUUCCACCAAAAUACAUUCCAAUGAUUAUUACCUUGUUUAUCCUAUGGAUCAAGUUCAUCUGUUGAGAUACACUAUCAUACUAUUCUUCUUUGUUGCAUAGUGAAGUACCUACUUACUGAGUAUGACUUGUCGUACUCACCCUUGUUUUCUCUGUUUUUCUAGAUGCAGAUGAUGUAACUUAAGCAUGUUCAGAAGAUGUCGUCAUCUAAAAUUAGGCUAGACCAGUGGGUGGGAAGCGACUAUAGACUGAUUUAUUUGAGAUGUUGGAAAUGUAAAGAAUUUGUAAAAGAAAAUAUAUGAGCUUUUGUGAUCCACUGCUGGUUUAUGCCUGCUUUAUCACGCCUUGCGUGACUAUAGGCCUCUGGUCUAUAGGUGCGCGGCGGCUGUCUCGCCUAGGGCCGGUCUUGG